AUUGAACGCUGGCGGCAGGCCUAACACAUGCAAGUCGAGCGGAUGAAGGGAGCUUGCUCCUGGAUUCAGCGGCGGACGGGUGAGUAAUGCCUAGGAAUCUGCCUGGUAGUGGGGGAUAACGUCCGGAAACGGGCGCUAAUACCGCAUACGUCCUGAGGGAGAAAGUGGGGGAUCUUCGGACCUCACGCUAUCAGAUGAGCCUAGGUCGGAUUAGCUAGUUGGUGGGGUAAAGGCCUACCAAGGCGACGAUCCGUAACUGGUCUGAGAGGAUGAUCAGUCACACUGGAACUGAGACACGGUCCAGACUCCUACGGGAGGCAGCAGUGGGGAAUAUUGGACAAUGGGCGAAAGCCUGAUCCAGCCAUGCCGCGUGGGUGAAGAAGGUCUUCGGAUUGUAAAGCACUUUAAGUUGGGAGGAAGGGCAGUAAGUUAAUACCUUGCUGUUUUGACGUACCAACAGAAUAAGCACCGGCUAACUUCGUG
rnacentral:rRNA from 1 species